GGAUGUGAGGGCGAUCUGGCUGCGACAUCUGUCACCCCAUUGAUCACCAGGGUUGAUUCGGCUAAUCUGGCUGGCUAGGCGGGUGUCCCCUUCCUCCCUCACCGCUCCAUGUGCGUCCCUCCCGAAGCUGCUUGCUCGGUGGAAGAGGACCACCAUCCCAGAUAGAAGGAGUGUACCGUUCUUCGGUCAAGGGUAUACGAUAGCUGCGCUCCCCUGCUAGAACCUCCAAACAAAAAGCAAAGGUGUGUGGGUCCAACCCAGCUGCAUUGUUUUUAAAAUACUAAGUUGUGGCACAAUGUCUUGCCACAACU